AUGAUUGUAGUUUGUGUUUUCAGAGAUGGU
rnacentral:piRNA from 1 species